UAAAAGUUUUAUUCUAGCUUAGAAAAUUAAUACAUUUUUUAUUUUAUAUGUAAGUUUUUGUUUUUGUAAGUUUAAAUAACUUAUUUUUUAAAAAAGCAGUAUUUAAUUUUAUAAAUUAAAGAAAUUUAGAUAUAGAAAUUAAUUUUAAUUUUAACUAAUUUUGUGCCAGCAGUUGCGGUUAAACAAUUAAAGUAGUUAAUUUUUAUUGGUAAAUGAUUAAUAGAUUUAUUGAUAAUUAAAAUUUUAAUUUAUUAGGUGAAAUUUUAAAUUAAAUAAAAAUUAUUUAAAAUUAUAUAAUUCAUUAAAUUUAAAUUAAAAACUAGGAUUAGAUACCCUAUUAUUUUAUAAUGUAAAUUUUUUACUAAAUUAGUAUUUGUUAUGUUCAUGAAAAUUAAAGAAUUUGGCGGUAUUUUAGUCUUUUCAGAGGAACCUGUCCUAUAAAUGAUAUUCCACGAUUUAUUUAUCUUAAUUUAAUUAAUUUGUAUAUCGCUGUAGUUGAAUAUUUUAUAAGAAUUUUAAUGUUCAUAAAUUUUUAUGUAAAAAAACAUCAAGUCAAGGUGCAGUUUAUAGUUAAGUAGAGAUGGGUUACAAUAAAUUUAUUUAUUAUGGUUAAUAAAAUGAAAUUUUUUUUUUAAAGUGGAUUUGAAAGUAAUAUUUAAUAAUUUUUAAAUAUGAUUUAAGCUCUAAAAUAUGCACAUAUCGCCCGUCGCUUUCAUUAUUAUUUGAGAUAAGUCGUAACAAAGUAGAUGUACUGGAAAGUGUAUCUAGAAAUAU
rnacentral:ncRNA from 1 species